rnacentral:rRNA from 1 species
GUUCAUUAAUUGUGAACCAGUAUGAAAGAAUAAACCUAAAUUUACUUUCUUUUCUUUAAAAAUGAAAUUAAAAGAAAUUAAAAAAUUAUUCUUUUACUAUUAGACGAGAAGACCCUAAAAACUAAUUAAACAAUAAUUUUUUGGGGAAAAUAAAUAAAAUAUUUCUUUAUAUAAAUGUAUUUAAAAACUAAAAAAUAAGUUACUUUAGGGAUAACAGAACAAUUUUUAAUAAAAGAACAAAUUUAAUUAAAAAAUUGUGACCUCGAUGUUGGAUUCUUGGAUCUAAAAAUUGCAGCAAAUUUUUAAGAAUAAACUGUUCGUUUUUUCAACCAAGACGUGAUCU